AAGCGAAGGUCCCAGCAGAGGGGUUCGGAACUAUGAUUGAGCCUCCCUAACACUAAUUCAAACCUUCGCAGAGUUACUUGCCGGAUCGUAGGAUGCCCAGAAUCUUUAGUUUUGGAGCAUCUUGAACCCCCGGCUACAUUCAA